rnacentral:rRNA from 1 species
UUGACCUGGCGGCAGGCUUAACACAUGCAAGUCGAGCGGGGAAGGUAGCUUGCUACUAACCUACGGCGGACGGGUGAGUAAUGCUUAGGAAUCUGCCUAUUAGUGGGGGACAACGUUUCGAAAGGAACGCUAAUACCGCAUACGUCCUACGGGAGAAAGCAGGGGAUCAUUUGACCUUGUGCUAAUAGAUGAGCCUAAGUCGGAUUAGCUAGUUGGUGGGGUAAAGGCCUACCAAGGCGACGAUCUGUAGCGGGUCUGAGAGGAUGAUCCGCCACACUGGGACUGAGACACGGCCCAGACUCCUACGGGAGGCAGCAGUGGGGAAUAUUGGACAAUGGGCGCAAGCCUGAUCCAGCCAUGCCGCGUGUGUGAAGAAGGCCUUAUGGUUGUAAAGCACUUUAAGCGAGGAGGAGGAGCUUCAGGUUAAUACCCUGGAUGCUUGGACGUUACUCGCAGAAUAAGCACCGGCUAACUCUGUGCCAGCAGCCGCGGUAAUACAGAGGGUGCAAGCGUUAAUCGGAUUUACUGGGCGUAAAGCGUGCGUAGGCGGCUAAUUAAGUCAAAUGUGAAAUCCCCGAGCUUAACUUGGGAAUUGCAUUCGAUACUGGUUAGCUAGAGUAUGGGAGAGGAUGGUAGAAUUCCAGGUGUAGCGGUGAAAUGCGUAGAGAUCUGGAGGAAU